rnacentral:lncRNA from 1 species
UCGGGCUGGGUGUGGAGUCAGUUGGCAGAGUAUUUGCAUGGAACCCUGGCUUGAUCAGCAGUGUGGCAUCAACUGAGGUUUUUCCUUUGCCAAGCUGGAUGGUGAGAGUUGGACGUCUGGAAGCUUCCCUUGAGAGGCAGGUCUCCAUCCCACCACCCCCUGACGUGGAGCUUGCCCCUUCCUCCUUACAGAAUGGAUUCCAUCAUAAAAUAAACACCUUGUUGAAAUUAACCUUAUUUUUAAAGGAGAGCAAGAUCACUAUAAAGAUGAGCCAUAAAAAGACUGGCGAUGUACUUGUUUGGCACAGACCAUGCCCCAGGUGUCUGGACUCCCGUUUGGGCUU